UACAGAGGUCUCAAGCGUUGUUCGGAUUCAUUGGGCGUAAAGGGUGCGUAGGCGGCGCGGUAAGUCGGGUGUGAAAUCUCGGGGCUUAACUCCGAAACUGCAUUCGAUACUGCCGUGCUUGAGGACUGGAGAGGAGACUGGAAUUUACGGUGUAGCGGUGAAAUGCGUAGAUAUCGUAAGGAAGACCAGUGGCGAAGGCGGGUCUCUGGACGGAUACUGACGCUGAGACGCGAAAGCGUGGGGAGCAAACAGG
rnacentral:rRNA from 1 species